rnacentral:misc_RNA from 1 species
GGAAGUAAAAGCGUAACAAGGUCUCCGUUGGUGAACCAGCGGAGGGAUCAUUACCGAGUUUACAACUCCCAAACCCAAUGUGAACGUUACCAAACUGUUGCCUCGGCGGGAUCUCUGCCCCGGGCGCGUCGCAGCCCCGGACCAAGGCGCCCGCCGGAGGAAAAACAACCAAAACUCUUUUUGUAUACCCCCUCGCGGGUUUUUUUACUUCUGAGAACUUCUCGGCGCCCCUUUGCGGGCGUUUCGAAAAUGAAUCAAAACUUUCAACAACGGAUCUCUUGGUUCUG